rnacentral:rRNA from 1 species
GCACAAGCGGUGGAGCAUGUGGUUCAAUUCGACGCAACGCGAAGAACCUUACCUGGGCUCGAAAUGUAGUGGACCGGGGUAGAAAUAUCCCUUCCUAGCAAUAGGCUGCUAUAUAGGUGCUGCAUGGCUGUCGUCAGCUCGUGUCGUGAGAUGUUGGGUUAAGUCCCGCAACGAGCGCAACCCUUAUUACCAGUUGCUACCAUUUAGUUGAGCACUCUGGUGAGACCGCCUCGGAUAACGGGGAGGAAGGCGGGGAUGACGUCAAGUCCUCAUGGCCUUUAUGUCCAGGGCUACACACGUGCUACAAUGGCCGGUACAAACCGUCGCAAACCCGCGAGGGGGAGCUAAUCGGAAAAAGCCGGCCUCAGUUCGGAUUAGAGUCUGCAACUCGACUCUAUGAAGCUGGAAUCGCUAGUAAUCGCGGAUCAGAAUGCCGCGGUGAAUACGUUCCCGGGC